AUGGAGGGCACCACAGGGAGAUCUUUAGCCUCUAUCACCUGCCAUCCCAAGCAACAGGUGACACCUGGGGUGCCCAGCCACAUUGAGAUGGGACCAGGAAUGUGUAUGUAUAACAUUCGGAGAAGUACAAUGUGUGUGGUGGGGAGAGAAGCUCCCACAUGUGGAAUGGAAGCCCUUUGCAUCGGCCAAGGGCAGAGGAUAUAUGAGGUCUUGGGCCGAAAAGCUACAUGUUUGCAAGAGAAAAUCACCCAAGAGACUACGGGUGCCCAGGUACAGGUGGCAGGGGACCUGUUCCCCAACUCCACAGAGCAAGCUGUUACACUGUCGGAGGUGCCUGAUGCCAUCAUCUUGUGUGUGCGCCAGAUCUGCGCUGUUAUCCUGGAGUCCCCACCCAAAGGAGCCACUAUCCCCUACCACCCAAGCCUCUCCCUAGGGUACUGUCCUUCUCUCCACCAACCAGGGCUUCUCUGUCCAGGGUCAGUAUGGGGCUGUGACCACAGCUGAGGUCACCAAGCUCCAGCAGCUCUCAAGCCAUGCGGUCCCUUUUGCCACACCCAGCGUGGUGCCAGCACUGGAUCCCGGCACAUAGACCAGCUCACAGGAGUUCUUGGUUCCCAAUGAUCUGAUUUGCUGUGUGAUGGGGCGCCAGGGCAGCAAGAUCAGCGAGAUCUGGCAGAUGUCAGGGCACAUAUCAAGAUCGGGAACCAAGCAGAGGGCGCUGGGGAGCAGCAUGUGACCAUCACUGGGUCACCGGUCUCCAUCGCCCUGGCCCAGUACCUCAUCACUGCCUGUCUAGAGACGGCCAAGUCUACCUCUGGGGGAACACCCGGCUUGGCCCCUACAGACCUGCCUGCCCCCUUCUCGCCGCCCCUGACGGCCCUGCCCACAGCUCCCCGCGGCCUGCUGGGCACACCCUAUGCCAUCUCCCUCUCCAACUUCAUUGGCCUCAAGCCCGUGCCCUUCUUGGCUUUACCACCUGCUUCCUCAGGGCCGCUGCCAGGCUUGGCGGCCUACACUGCCAAGAUGGCAGCGGCUAAUGGGAGUAAGAAGGCUGAGCGGCAGAAAUUCACCCCCUACUGAGGCCAGCUGAGGUACAGGCAGGGGCAGGCAGGACAACCAGCAGGGAGCUGCCUCCGCACCAUACUCGCCCAAGGAGACUCCACCCUGGGGUCCCAAGUGCCGCUAACGCCCAGACACAUGGAUGCACCCCCUACCCUGCCUCCAUCUAUGGGAGUUCCUUCUCUCAGAGUGGGGGCAGUUUCUGGCCCAGGGGUCUGAGCUGUGGCAGCCCCAGGCCAGGGGGUCCUACCCCCUUAGGUCUGUGCUUGAAUACAGGGAUCAGCCAGGGGACUUCCUAGUGCCCCCACCAUGGUUGGUGUCACUCAUGCACUCCCCAUCCCUUAGGGCUUCCUGGCCUACUGCACCCUUGUGGGAGUCAGGGAGGAGGGCCGGGGGAUAGCUGGGGCCAGGCUUCUCUCCCCACCACCUGCAGAUUUCUUGCUGCUUCCACUGAUACCCUUUUGACUGGAAUGAACUGGCUGGGCUUCUCAGGGAGCACCCCAAAGAGGGGGCACUGCCAGGUAGCUGGGGGAGUGGCAUGGGGCAGGGGCCCAGUUCUCAGCAGCAGACACUCUGUACAGGUUUUUCAAUCCCUGUUUUUUGAAUAAAUAUUCUCAGGGAC